rnacentral:rRNA from 1 species
AACGAACGCUGGCGGCAUGCCUAACACAUGCAAGUCGAACGAGAUCUUCGGGUCUAGUGGCGCACGGGUGCGUAACGCGUGGGAAUCUGCCCUUUGGUUCGGAAUAACAGUUGGAAACGACUGCUAAUACCGGAUGAUGACGAAAGUCCAAAGAUUUAUCGCCAGAGGAUGAGCCCGCGUAGGAUUAGCUAGUUGGUGUGGUAAAGGCGCACCAAGGCGACGAUCCUUAGCUGGUCUGAGAGGAUGAUCAGCCACACUGGGACUGAGACAAUGCCCAGACUCCUACUGGGGGCAGCAGUGGGGAAUAUUGGACAAUGGGCGAAAGCCUGAUCCAGCAAUGCCACGUGAGUGAUGAAGGCCUUAGGGUUGUAAAGCUCUUUUACCCGGGUUGAUAAUGACAGUACCGGGAGAAUAAGCUCCGGCUAACUCCGUGCCAGCCGCCGCCGUAA